rnacentral:rRNA from 1 species
UACGUAGGGGGCUAGCGUUGUCCGGAAUCAUUGGGCGUAAAGCGCGCGUAGGCGGCCCGGUAAGUCCGCUGUGAAAGUCCAGGGCUCAACCCCUGGAAAGCCGGUGGAUACUGCCGGGCUAGAGUCCGGGAGAGGCGAGUGGAAUUCCUGGUGUAGCGGUGGAAUGCGCAGAUAUCAGGAGGAACACCUAAGGCGAAGGCAGCUCGCUGGAACGGUACUGACGCUGAGGCGCGAAAGCGUGGGGAGCGAACAGG